rnacentral:rRNA from 1 species
UGGCUGUCGUCAGCUCGUGUCGUGAGAUGUUGGGUUAAGUCCCGCAACGAGCGCAACCCUCAUCCUUAGUUGCCAUCAGGUAAUGCUGAGUACUUUAAGGGAACUGCCAGUGAUAAGCUGGAGGAAGGUGGGGAUGAUGUCAAGUCAUCAUGGCCUUUAUGGAGUGGGCUACGCACGUGCUACAAUGGUGUCUACAAUGGGCUGCAAGGUGCGCAAGCCUAAGCUAAUCCCUAAAAGACAUCUCAGUUCGGAUUGUACUCUGCAACUCGAGUACAUGAAGUUGGAAUCGCUAGUAAUCGUGGAUCAGCAUGCCACGGUGAAUACGU